rnacentral:rRNA from 1 species
UACGUAGGGGGCAAGCGUUGUCCGAAUUUAUUGGGCGUAAAGAGCGUGUAGGCGGCCAGAUAGGUCCGUUGUGAAAACUCGAGGCUCAACCUCGAGACGCCGAUGGAAACCAUUUGGCUAGAGUCCGGAAGAGGAGAGUGGAAUUCCUGGUGUAGCGGUGAAAUGCGCAGAUAUCAGGAAGAACACCCGUGGCUAAGGCGGCUCUCUAGUACGGUACUGACGCUGAGACGCGAAAGCGUGGGGAGCGAACAGG